GCGAACGCUGGCGGCAGGCUUAACACAUGCAAGUCGAACGCCCGGGCAACCGGGAGUGGCAGACGGGUGAGUAACACGUGGGAACGUGCCCUUCGGUUCGGAAUAACUCAGGAAACUUGAGCUAAUACCGGAUACGUCCGCAAGGAGAAAGAUUUAUCGCCGAAGGAUCGGCCCGCGUCUGAUUAGCUAGUUGGUGAGGUAACGGCUCACCAAGGCGACCGAUCAGUAGCUGGGUCUGAGAGGAUGAUCAGCCACACUGGGACUGAGACAACGGCCCAGACUCCCUACGGGAGGGCAGCAGUGGGGAAUAUUGGACAAUGGGCGAAAGCCUGAUCCAGCCAUGCCGCGUGAGUGAUGAAGGCCCUAGGGUUGUAAAGCUCUUUCGGCGGGGACGAUAAUGACGGUACCCGCAGAAGAAGCCCCGGCUAACUUCGUGCCAGCAGCCGCGGUAAUACGAAGGGGGCUAGCGUUGCUCGGAAUCACUGGGCGUAAAGGGCGCGUAGGCGGACGUUUAAGUCGGGGGUGAAAUCCUGGGGCUACACCUCAGAAUUGCCUUCGAUACCUGGGCGUCUCGAGACCGGAAGAGGUGAGUGGAACUGCGAGUGUAGAGGUGAAAUUCGUAGAUAUUCGCAAGAACACCAGUGGCGAAGGCGGCUCACUGGUACCGGUUCUGACGCUGAGGCGCGAAAGCGUGGGGAGCAAACAGGAAUUAGAUACCCUGGUAGUCCACGCCGUAAACGAUGGAUGCUAGCCGUUGGCGAGCUUGCUCGUCAGUGGCGCAGUUAAACACUUUAAGCAUCCCGCCUGGGGAGUACGGUCGCAAGAUUAAAACUCAAAGGAAUUGACGGGGGCCCGCACAAGCGGUGGAGCAUGUGGUUUAAUUCGAAAGCAACCGCGCAGAACCUUAUCAACCUUUGACAUGUCCAGUAUGGGGAUCAAGAGAUGGACCCCUUCAGCUUCGGCUGGCUGGAACACAGGUGCUGCAUGGCUGUCGUCAGCUCGUGUCGUGAGAUGUUGGGUUAAGUCCCGCAACGAGCGCAACCCUCGGCCCUUAGUUGCCAUCAUUCAGUUGGGCACUCUAAGGGGACUGCCGGGUGAUAAGCCGCGAGGAAGGUGGCGGAUGACGUCACAGUCCUCAUGGCCCUUACAGGUUGGGCUACACACGUGCUACAAUGGCGGGUGACAAUGGGCAGCGAAGGGGGCGACCUGGGAGCUAAUCCCCAAAAAGCCGUCUCAGUUCAGAUUGCACUCUGCAACUCGAGUGCAUGAAGGCGGAAUCGCUAGUAAUCGCAGAUCAGCAUGCUGCGGUGAAUACGUUCCCGGGCCUUGUACACACCGCCCGUCAACUACCAUGGGAGUUGGCUUUACCUGAAGGCGUCGCGCUAACCGCAAGGAGGCAGGCGACCACGGUAGGGUCAGCGACUGGGGUG
rnacentral:rRNA from 1 species